CCUUUAUUCUGGCUCAGGAUGAACGCUAGCGACAGGCUUAACACCUGCAAGUCGAGGGGCAGCGGGGGCGUAGCAAUACGCCUGCCGGCGACCGGCGCACGGGUGAGUAACACGUAUGCAACCUGCCCGUCACAGGGGGAUAAGCGGAAGAAAUUCCGUCUAAUACCGCGUAGCACCUACGGAGGGCAUCCUCUGCAAGUUAAAGAAUUUCGGUGACGGAUGGGCAUGCGGCGCAUUAGCUAGUUGGCGGGGUAACGGCCCACCAAGGCGACGAUGCGUAGGGGUUCUGAGAGGAAGGUCCCCCACACUGGUACUGAGACACGGACCAGACUCCUACGGGAGGCAGCAGUGAGGAAUAUUGGUCAAUGGGCGCGAGCCUGAACCAGCCAAGUCGCGUGAGGGAAGACGGCCCUACGGGUUGUAAACCUCUUUUGCCGGGGAGCAAAUGCGCCACGUGUGGCGCUGCGAGAGUACCCGGAGAAAAAGCAUCGGCUAACUCCGUGCCAGCAGCCGCGGUAAUACGGAGGAUGCGAGCGUUAUCCGGAUUUAUUGGGUUUAAAGGGUGCGUAGGCGGUGCGUUAAGUCAGCGGUAAAAUUGAGGGGCUCAACCCCUUCCCGCCGUUGAAACUGGCGUGCUUGAGCGGGCGAGAAGUACGCGGAAUGCGUGGUGUAGCGGUGAAAUGCAUAGAUAUCACGCAGAACUCCGAUUGCGAAGGCAGCGUACCGGCGCCCAACUGACGCUGAAGCACGAAAGCGUGGGUAUCGAACAGGAUUAGAUACCCUGGUAGUCCACGCAGUAAACGAUGAAUGCUAAUUGUCCGCGGGGAGUGACCUGUGGGUGAUAAAGCGAAAGCGUUAAGCAUUCCACCUGGGGAGUACGCCGGCAACGGUGCAAGUCAAAUGAAUUGACGGA
rnacentral:rRNA from 1 species